UACGAAGGGUGCAAGCGUUACUCGGAAUUACUGGGCGUAAAGCGUGCGUAGGUGGUUUGUUAAGUCUGAUGUGAAAAGCCCCUGGGCUCAACCUGGGAACGGCAUUGGAAACUGGCUUACUAGAGUGCGGUAGAGGGGUGUGGAAUUCCACGUGUAGCAGUGAAAUGCGUAGAGAUGUGGAGGAACACCGAUGGCGAAGGCAGCCCCCCUGGGCUAACACUGACGCUCAUGCACGAAAGCGUGGGGAGCAAACAGG
rnacentral:rRNA from 1 species